rnacentral:rRNA from 1 species
UACGUAGGGGGCGAGCGUUGUCCGGAUUUAUUGGGCGUAAAGAGCUCGUAGGCGGUUUGGCAAGUCGGGUGUGAAAACUCCGGGCUCAACUCGGAGACGCCACUCGAUACUGCCAUGACUCGAGUCCGGUAGGGGAGUGCGGAAUUCCUGGUGUAGCGGUGAAAUGCGCAGAUAUCAGGAGGAACACCGGUGGCGAAGGCGGCACUCUGGGCCGGAACUGACGCUGAGGAGCGAAAGCGUGGGGAGCGAACAGG